rnacentral:rRNA from 1 species
GCUUAACACAUGCAAGUCGAGGGGCAUCACAUGAAGUAGCAAUACGGAUGGUGGCGACCGGCGCACGGGUGAGUAACGCGUAUGCAAUCUACCUACAACAAGGGGAUAACCCGUUGAAAGACGGACUAAUACCCUAUAAUACAGGGGUUCCGCAUGGGAAUAUUUGUUAAAGAUUCAUCGGUUGUAGAUGAGCAUGCGUUCCAUUAGCUGGUUGGUGAGGUAACGGCCCACCAAGGCAACGAUGGAUAGGGGAACUGAGAGGUUUAUCCCCCACACUGGUACUGAGACACGGACCAGACUCCUACGGGAGGCAGCAGUGAGGAAUAUUGGUCAAUGGACGCAAGUCUGAACCAGCCACGUCGCGUGAAGGAAGACGGCCCUACGGGUUGUAAACUUCUUUUGUAAGGGAAUAAAGUGCAGUACGUGUACUGUUUUGCAUGUACCUUACGAAUAAGGAUCGGCUAACUCCGUGCCAGCAGCCGCGGUAAUAC